ensembl:misc_RNA
UUGACAGGCCUGGAGAAUGGAGUUGUCUAUUCAUAGAACAGGUUCAGUAUGGGUAGCAGCAGUGAACGCUUAUUCAUGUAGCCCUGCUAGUGUGCCUCAAUCCUGACCUAGAGAGGCUGCUUCUGGGGACAGGGGAGUUCAGUCUCUGUUCCAGUUCAGUCCAUGUUCUCU